rnacentral:rRNA from 1 species
AAGGUGAAAAGAACCCCGGGAGGGGAAUGAAAGAGAACCUGAAACCGUAUGUCUACAAGCAGUCGAAGACCUUUAUAUGGUCGACGGCGUGCCUAUUGAAGAAUGAACCGGCGAGUUACUUCAGCUAGCGAGGUUAAGCAGGAAAUGCGGAGCCGCAGCGAAAGCGAGUCUGAACAGGGCGUAUAGUUAGUUGGAGUAGACCCGAAACCACAGUGAUCUACCCAUGUCCAGGUUGAAGCACAGGUAAAAAUGUGUGGAGGACCGAACCAGUGAGCGUUGAAAAGCUUUUGGAUGAGAUGUGGGUAGGGGUGAAAUUCCAAUCGAACGUGGAGAUAGCUGGUUCUCCCCGAAAUAGCUUUAGGGCUAGCCUCAUGGCGAGAGUACAGGCGGUAGAGCACUGAACGGGGUAGGGGCCUAUCCGGCUACUGAACCUAAUCAAACUGCGAAUGGCUGUACUUAUCCAUGGGAGUCAGACUGUGAGUAAUAAGGCCCAUAGUCAAGAGGGAAACAGCCCAGACCAACAGCUAAGGUCCCCAAUGCCGUACUAAGUGGCGAAGGAUGUGGAAUUUCGAAAACAACCAGGAUGUUGGCUCAGAAGCAGCCACCAUUAAAAGAGUGCGUAAUAGCUCACUGGUCGAGAGACUCUGCGCCGAAGAUGUCCGGGGCUAAAGUACGGAACCGAAGCUUUGGCAAUUAACAUAAGUUAAUUGGGUAGGGGAGCGUUCCUGCAUGGGAGAAGCCUGACCGGAAGGACAGGUGGACAGGCAGGAAGAGAGAAUGCCGGUAUGAGUAGCGAAAAGAAGGGUGAGAAUCCCUUCCACCGAAAGCCUAAGGGUUCCUGGGCAACGAUCGUCGUCCCAGGGUAAGUCGGGACCUAAUCCGAGGCGGAGACGCGUAGGAGAUGGACAACAGGUUGAAAUUCCUGUACUGGCUGAGGCCGUUUGAGCGAAGGAGUGACACAGGAAGGAAGGCGCGCGUGCGAAUGGAAGAGCACGUCCAAGCAGGUAGGUCGGGAGACAGGCAAAUCCGUUUCCCGUAAGGCCGAGAUGCGAUGGGGAGCUUCUGGAGACAGAAGCGAAGGGGCUGGCACUAAACUGUCGAGAAAAGCUUCUAGUGAGGACUCAGGCACCCGUACCGAAACCGACACAGGUAGGCAGGAUGAGAAUUCUAAGGUGCGCGGGAAAACCCUCGUUAAGGAACUCGGCAAAAUAUAUCCGUAACUUCGGGAAAAGGAUAACCCAGCGUACGUGAAGUGCAGAAGCGCAUGGAGCGGAGAUGGGUGGCAGAAGAGAGGCCCAAGCGACUGUUUACCACAAACACAGGCGUCUGCUAAAGCGAAAGCUGAUGUAUAGAUGCUGACACCUGCCCGGUGCUGGAAGGUUAAGAGGAAGUGUUAGCGCAAGCGAAGCAGUGAAUUGAAGCCCCAGUAAACGGCGGCCGUAACUAUAACGGUCCUAAGGUAGCGAAAUUCCUUGUCGGGUAAGUUCC